UGUUAGGUGGUGUAAGGUGCACAUAAGUUUUUGAUCCUUAAAGAAAAGGUUCAAUUCCUUCCCUAACAA
rnacentral:tRNA from 1 species